AGAAUGAACGCUGGCGGCGUGCCUUACACAUGCAAGUCGAGCGAGGCGCGGUAGCAAUACCGCAGUCGAGCGGCGAACGGGUGAGUAACACGUGGGUGACCUGCCUCUAGGUGGGGGAUAACCCGGGGAAACUCGGGCUAAUACCGCAUAACAUCGUGAGAUCAAAGAGGGGCGCAAGCCUCUCGCCGAGAGAGGGGCCCGCGUCUGAUUAGCUAGUUGGUGAGUAACGGCUCACCAAGGCGACGAUCAGUA
rnacentral:rRNA from 1 species